UAUGUAUUUUUUUAAGUUUGUGCUAAUCGUUCCCGAGGACUUUAGGGUUUCCAAGGAAUUAUAUGAAUGUCAUACAUGUCGCCUGUUUCACAGCGCUCUCAGACGGCUAGGGCUAGGUUUUAAUCCGCAAACUUAAAUAGUAGUCGCCAUUCUUGCUUCGCAUCACGAUCUGUUAGCUGAAUUUAUUUUGUUUUUGCCACAGCUUUGGAUAAUGGUGAAAUUAUCGGAUGCCGCAAAUAUUUUUCACAAAGUUCGAUGGAAAAUUGUUUUUGUGCCUGCCUAGAAUGGACGGAAUUGGAAAGAUGGUGUUUGCCAAAUAUUUGGUAGCUGGGGUCGAUUUGCUGAUAGUUAGAGUUAAUGAACAACAAAAUGGAGUAUUGUAGUUGUUGAAGUGGACAGCAACAUUACAAGUUGUGGCUAUCUGCAAUUUUGGAGGCUUAGGCAAAACCACACUGGCAAUUGUUGGUGUGCCCAGAGGUUUUGGCAAAACUACACUUGCAAGUGUUGGUGUACCCAGAGGUUUUGGCAAAACUACACUUGCAAGUGUUUGUGUACCUAGAGGUUUCGGUAAAACUACACUUGCAAGUGUUGGUGUAACCAAAGCCUUUGGCAAAACCACACUAGCUAGUGUUAGUGUACCUAGAGGUUUUGGCAAAACUACACUAGCAAGUGUGGGUGUAUCUAGAGCCUUUGGCAAAACCACACUAGCAAGUGUUGGUGUAUCUAGAGCCUUUGGCAAAACCACACUAGCAAGUGUUGGUGCGUUUAAAGCUUAAAACCAAUAAAAGAAGCACCGGAAAAUACAAAAAAUCAUUUAUUUAAAAAAAUGGUGCUUUGAGCAAAAGAACCAUUGGCCAUCGCUCCAUCAAACACACAACAGCAGCACAACAAUAAAUAAUCAAAAGCCCUGUGUAUUAAUCAGUACUUGCUACUUUCAAAAGUGGUUUUUUGAGCAAAAGCAACAUUGGCUGCCGCUGAAAUGAAAAUUUUCAAAGAUUACAACUACAUAAGUGUUGAUACUUCAAGCAAAAUUUGAAGGGUCAAGAUAUGAGGAUAUUAGUCUUGUUGAUGAUCCAAGUCAUUGCUGAGGAGUGAGGACCAUACAUUUAUGUAUAGGGCCAAGAUACUAGGAAAUUAGAACUGAAAGCAAACAAGAUUUGGGUCUUAUAAAGACAACAUCAACAUGCUUGCUGACUGUCACCUAAUUUGACAAAGAGCAUAAAGAACCCACCUUUGGUUACAAUAGGCUGGGCAAAGUACAUUCCCCAGGAGAGACUACUCAAAGUUCAUCAUCUUGCAUCAAUGUUUGCAUCUUGUCGAAAAUUCUCCUUCCUGGUCAUAUACUAUUCUGAAAUCAUUUGAGGUGGAAUUGUAGGCAGUGCUGGCCAAUCUUGAAGGCUUGCUCAAAACUUACAUUCAGGUAGAUGGAUUUCACAAUCUCUGGGGAGAGAUGCUUUAUGAUCAAUUUUUUGGAGCUGGUGGCACAGAGCUUACUGCCCACUCAUUUAACUAAUUCAAUGACUGUAUAUUGCUCCCAUAUCAGGUUACUUAUCCAUAUGCUCUCCUUUGUCUAUUUAUGUAGACAUUGUAGAGUUCAGAGCUUUACAUAUGGCACCAUAGACUAUUAUGUAAUUCGCAGCUUGCUCCUAAUGUAUCUGAAAUGUUUUAG